rnacentral:pre_miRNA from 1 species
GAUUACUUCUGUGUUUUAUGGCUUUCUAUUCCUAUGUGAUUAUACAUGAUAUCUCAUGUAGGGUUGAAAGCCAUUGGGCACAGAGUGGAAA